GAUGAACGCUGGCGGCGUGCCUAAUACAUGCAAGUCGAGCGAACAGACGAGGAGCUUGCUCCUCUGACGUUAGCGGCGGACGGGUGAGUAACACGUGGAUAACCUACCUAUAAGACUGGGAUAACUUCGGGAAACCGGAGCUAAUACCGGAUAAUAUAUUGAACCGCAUGGUUCAAUAGCGAAAGACGGUUUUGCUGUCACUUAUAGAUGGAUCCGCGCCGCAUUAGCUAGUUGGUAAGGUAACGGCUUACCAAGGCAACGAUGCGUAGCCGACCUGAGAGGGUGAUCGGCCACACUGGAACUGAGACACGGUCCAGACUCCUACGGGAGGCAGCAGCAGGGAAUCUUCCGCAAUGGGCGAAAGCCUGACGGAGCAACGCCGCGUGAGUGAUGAAGGUCUUCGGAUCGUAAAACUCUGUUAUUAGGGAAGAACAAAUGUGUAAGUAACUAUGCACGUCUUGACGGUACCUAAUCAGAAAGCCACGGCUAACUACGUG
rnacentral:rRNA from 1 species